rnacentral:rRNA from 1 species
GUCCUAGCUGUAAACGGUGCAUAUUUGCUGUAAAAGGAAUCGACCCCUUUUGUGGCGUAGCAAACGCGUUAAAUAUGCCGCCUGGGAAGUACGGUCGCAAGAUUAAAACUCAAAGAAAUUGACGGGGGCCUGCACAAGCGGUGGAGUAUGUGGCUUAAUUCGAUGCAACGCGAAGAACCUUACCUGGCCUUGACAUGCAUAUAGUAGAAGGGUGAAAGCCUGACGAGGUAGCAAUACCAGUAUGCACAGGUGCUGCAUGGCUGUCGU